rnacentral:misc_RNA from 1 species
GUAACAAGGUUUCCGUAGGUGAACCUGCGGAAGGAUCAUUAGUGAAUAUAGGACGUCCAACUUAACUUGGAGUCCGAACUCUCACUUUCUAACCCUGUGCACUUGUUUGGGAUAGUAACUCUCGCAAGAGAGCGAACUCCUAUUCACUUAUAAACACAAAGUCUAUGAAUGUAUUAAAUUUUAUAACAAAAUAAAACUUUCAACAACGGAUCUCUUGGCUCUCGCAUCGAUGAAGAACGCAGCGAAAUGCGAUAAGUAAUGUGAAUUGCAGAAUUCAGUGAAUCAUCGAAUCUUUGAACGCACCUUGCGCUCCAUGGUAUUCCGUGGAGCAUGCCUGUUUGAGUGUCAUGAAUACUUCAACCCUCCUCUUUCUUAAUGAUUGAAGAGGUGUUUGGUUUCUGAGCGCUGCUGGCCUUUACGGUCUAGCUCGUUCGUAAUGCAUUAGCAUCCGCAAUCGAACUUCGGAUUGACUUGGCGUAAUAGACUAUUCGCUGAGGAAUUCUAGUCUUCGGACUAGAGCCGGGUUGGGUUAAAGGAAGCUUCUAAUCAGAAUGUCUACAUUUUAAGAUUAGAUCUCAAAUCAGGUAGGACUACCCGCUGAACUUAAGCAUAUCA